rnacentral:lncRNA from 1 species
GUUUAAUAAUUCACCAUGUAAAAUUAUUUGAUGAACCUCCGUAACAAGAAAAAAAAAUGUUUUUUUAAAUGAAAUAAAUGUUUUUUUUCCCAUCAGGAGCCAUUUUCGACCUGGAUCUGAAUCUGGAUCUGAAUCUGGAUCUGAAUCUGGAUUUGAAUCAGAAUCUGAAUCUGGAUCUGAAUCUGGAUCUGGAUCUGAAUCUGGAUCUGAAUCUGGAUCCAGCUGUGUGUCCUUCAGGAGUGACAAGUCAAAGGACUUUAAUCCUGACUUCAAGUCCAUCAGUCCAGGAGUGAAACAGAGCCAUUUUCGACCUGGAUCUGAAUCUGGAUCUGAAUCUGAAUCUGGAUCUGAAUCUGGAUCUGAAUCUGGAUUUGAAUCAGAAUCUGAAUCUGGAUCUGAAUCUGGAUCUGGAUCUGAAUCUGGAUCUGAAUCUGGAUCCAGCUGUGUGUCCUUCAGGAGUGACAAGUCAAAGGACUUUAAUCCUGACUUCAAGUCCAUCAGUCCAGGAGUGAAACAGUAAGUGUUUGUCAGAGUUAAAGGAGGCUGGAUAAUAGUUCAGAUGAUCAAUAGUUUUCAGAUAAAUGAUUGAGAUCUGGUUCAGUUUUUGAUCUCUCUGAUCAGACUCACUUGGAGCUAAGGCUGGGCAUUGGUUAUAAUUUCCAGAAUCGAUUCGAUUUCA